ensembl:lncRNA STXBP5-AS1 STXBP5 antisense RNA 1
AGAAACACUCUGCUACAGAACAAGUGUCUUGGUUCACAGCAAAGAGGACAAAGAAAACAGCAAGUUUUAGGGGGUUGAAUCCUGGAUUCCCCUGGCAAACACCAUUCUACUUUCCGUCUCUAUGAAUUUGACUACUCGAAGUACCUCAUGUGAAAUGUUGGUGCCAAAUGAACUUUUCUGGUUCUUCUGAAUUAAUUCAGCAUUUCCAGUGACAUCCUUCUGGCUGUGCUUCAAAGGGAAGAUGACGCUAGAGCUGGCAGCAUGACCAGCACUGUGUAAAUCACCCAGACAGACAACAACACAACAUCCAUGAAUAGAUGGCAGAGUUAGCAAGAAAAAAUAGCUUGGAGGAUGGAAAAACCCCAAAGAUCAUUUGCUCCAGAAGAAGCUGGUUGCCAUGUCUUGAGGACAGUAAACCCUCUGGGGAGGUUCCUGUGGUAAGGAACAAGGGCUCCUGGCAAUAGCCUCUGAGUGAGCCACCUUGAAAAUGGAUUGUCCAGCCCCAGUCAAGCUUUCAGAUGACUGUAGCUCCUGCCAAUGUCUUCACCACAACCUCAUGAGAUCCCAAGCUACAACCACUCAGAACUUCAUCUUUUGGGAAGCACCAGGGAGAGCUGCCUGUGCCUGGCAGAAGCUGCCCAUGCCCCACUGAUACCCCACAGUACUUCCUGUUCUGCUUAGUACUCCUGCUUCUUUCUACAAACAACUGUGAUUCUCUACCUGGGAGCUUCCUCUGGCCACAGGAGCCUGCUCACCUGAUUGGGACACCCUAGCAGUACUGAAUGAAGUGCAUUCAGAUUCGAUGUGUAUCCUGUCUCUGGGAAGCCCCAUGCUCUGCUCAUCUUAGCAUGAUUACUAAGGUACACUCUGCCCUUGCAAGGGGAAGGCCCGAGAUUUGCUGCUGGCAGGCUCAGUGGGAGUUGGAUGUUUUAUGUAACCUGAUUGUGGAUAUAGAUCAAUUCAUGCUUUUCAAUUCAGUCCUCUCUCUAAUAAACUGCUGUCAUAAGC